UACGUAGGGGGCAAGCGUUGUCCGGAUUUAUUGGGCGUAAAGAGCGUGUAGGCGGUUUGGUAGGUCCGCUGUGAAAACUCGAGCUCAACCUCGAGACGCCGGUGGAAACCAUCAGACUAGAGUCCGGAAGAGGAGAGUGGAAUUCCUGGUGUAGCGGUGAAAUGCGCAGAUAUCAGGAAGAACACCAAUGGCGAAGGCAGCUCGCUGGGACGUUACUGACACUGGAGGCGCGAAAGCGUGGGGAGCGAACAGG
rnacentral:rRNA from 1 species